CACUUGCCUUGUCUAUGUGUUACACUAAAAUUGGAACCACACAGGGAUUACACAGCCAAUGUGCAAAGAUGACUCACACAUUUGUGAAUCCUUCCAUAUUUGU
ensembl:snRNA U6 U6 spliceosomal RNA